GAAACAUGUGUUUGCCACAUAUCUUGCGUUCUACAAAAUUGCCAGGAAAACACACGGAGUGAUCUUCAUAGGGAACCAGUGUGGUGAUGGUUGGUGAAAUAAAAAAUAUUCAAAAAAUAAUCAAAAAAAUAAUCAAAAAAUAUUCACGGAAAUAUUCACGGAAAUAUUCAUGAAAAUAUUCAAGAAAUAUUCAAAGGAAUGAUUGAUGACAAAGAUGAUCAAAUGUGAUAAGGGGGGAAAGAAACCUGCGUUUGCCACAUAUCUUGCGUUCUACAAUAUUGCCAGGAAAACAAAAGGAUGAUCUUCAUAGGGAACCAGUGUGAUGAUGGUUGGUGAAAUAAAAAAUAUUCAAAAAAUAAUCAAAAAAUAUUCACGGAAAUAUUCACGGAAAUAUUCAAGAAAUAUUCAAAGGAAUGAUUGAUUACAAAGAUUAUUAUAUGUGAUAAGGGGGGAAGGAAACCUGUGUUUGCCACAUAUCUUGCGUUCUACAAUAUUACCAGGAAAACAAAAGGAGUGAUCUUCAUAGGGAACCAGUGUGAUGAUGGUUGGUGAAAUAAAAAAUAUUCAAAGAAUAUUCAAAAAAUAUUCAAAAAAUAUUCAAAAAA
ensembl:lncRNA